rnacentral:rRNA from 1 species
GACGAACGCUGGCGGCGUGCUUAACACAUGCAAGUCGAACGGAAAGGCCCUGCUUGCAGGGUACUCGAGUGGCGAACGGGUGAGUAACACGUGGGUGAUCUGCCCUGCACUUCGGGAUAAGCCUGGGAAACUGGGUCUAAUACCGGAUAGGAGCCAUUUUUAGUGUGAUGGUUGGAAAGUUUUUUCGGUGUAGGAUGAGCUCGCGGCCUAUCAGCUUGUUGGUGGGGUAAUGGCCUACCAAGGCGGCGACGGGUAGCCGGCCUGAGAGGGUGGACGGCCACAUUGGGACUGAGGUACAGCCCAGACUCCUACAGGAGGCAGCAGUGGGGAAUAUUGCACAAUGGGCGCAAGCCUGAUGCAGCGACGCAGCGUGGGGGAUGACGGCCUUCGGGUUGUAAACUCCUUUCGCUAGGGACGAAGCUGUUUGUGACGGUACCUAGAUAAGAAGCACCGGCUAACUACGUG